rnacentral:rRNA from 1 species
CUACGGAGGGUGCAAGCGUUAAUCGGAAUUACUGGGCGUAAAGAGUACGUAGGUGGUUUGUUAAGUCAGAUGGGAAAGCCCCGGGCUCAACCUGGGAACUGCAUUUGAAACUGGCAAACUAGAGUAUGGUAGAGGGGGGUAGAAUUUCUAGUGUAGCGGUGAAAUGCGUAGAUAUUAGAAGGAAUACCAGUGGCGAAGGCGGCCCCCUGGACCAAUACUGACACUGAGGUACGAAAGCGUGGGUAGCGAACAGGAUUAGAAACCCUAGUAGUCC